UUUACAGUCUAUGGUUUUUAGUCCUUGAUACUUGAUAGAUAUUUGAUAUCUAUUAUAUAUUUUAUCUAUUUUUGUGGUUUCUUUGUCGUUUUCUUUAUUGAUUUUUAUUCAUUCUUGUUCUAUUAAUAGGUUACCAAAUUAUUGUUCUAUUUGAAGAAGAGAGUUUCCCAUCUCUUACUCGGGUACCUUCUCCAAGUUAUAAGGAACCAGAUGGAAGCCAUUGAAUUGUUAGUCUACCUUCCUCCAUUGGAGUCUGAGGCAUAGAUGGACCGAAAGGGGAAUCAUCUAGCUUUAGAUGGGGGAGGAGAGCACGACUUGUGCUAGAACUUCUUCAAGAAAUUUGACAAAUUUACGCUUCUCAACCUUACUCAUGGCUCUCGCGUCUUGAUGUUUCAAGAGUUUCUCGUGGAGGGUACGUAAGGCUAUCCCCAACUGAAUCUUUGACUGGGGGAGAGAUGAUUCCGUCAGGGAAUUUAAUGUAAAAAUUCGAAAAACAAACAGAUAACAUUAUUAUUAGAGGAAACGUUUCAAAUAAAAUAUUUAAAAUGAUAUAUUUUGUGAAAUAUUAAUUUAGAACGUUCAAUUAUUUUAAAUUAAAUGAAACACAUCUUAAGGUAGAUCAUAUCUCCAGGUUGUAUAUCUCAAUUUACUCCAAAUAAAUAUGUUAGAUUAAUAUCUCAUUUGAAGUUUACCCAAUUAAUAGAUGAGAGGUCGGAGAUCGAACGACAGGAUGAAAUUAGUGGAAUGUUUUAGAGAUUAAUUUUAUACCAUUUAAAUGAAAUAAAAGAGUACUUAUAGUAUUACAAUAUUUGUAAUUAAUUAAUUAAUUCUAAAGGAUUUUUAAUAUAAAAAUUCUAAUUGGAGAAGCGGUCUUCCGCUUCUCUCUCCGGCUCGGACCCGGUUCAUCACCGUUGGGUGAUUUUUGUUUACCGUGGUCUUCCCCCAAUUAAGUUAGGAUUUAGUUCGUCUUCUUCAACAACAACUCUUCUAAUCGUCGUGCUAUCUUCCUGGAUAGUGGAGCAGUCUAUCAGCAUCAUAUCAUCGUCGGCUUCUUCAGAUUCGGCAUUGUCUUCAAUGUUGAUAGGAGGGAAAAGACGCAACACAUCUUCAUGAAAUUCCCAAGACGAGUCCUCCGGUAUCGCUCCAUUCCAAGCGACCAGCCAUUGAUUUCUCUGUCUCGAUCUCACCCUGAAAAAUGGUACGCUUAUUAGAAUAAAUAACUUCUACUGUUUUUUUAGUUGAGUUUAAUAUUCUCAAAUACAAGUUUAUACAAUGAGUUAGCUGUUAGAGGUUAAUUAGUUUUAGAUACUCUUUCUUAUAAAUACUUUUGUAAGACUGCAUUCUUGGUUAAUGAAUUGAGUUCUUUCUUUUGAGAUUAUUGUUGAAUUGAACUUGAAACAAGCACCAAAAUCUUGGUACUCAAGACUGAGUGCAUUCCUAAUAUUAAAUGAAUUCUCUAACAGUCUGGCAGAUACAUUAUUGUUUCAAAAAAAAGAUAAUUUUUUAAUUUGAGUAAUUGUGUAUAUAUAUAGAUGACAUUAUAAUUUCAAGAAACAACAACAUUGAAAUUGAAGUUUUUAUUAAAAAUCUUUGUACUGCAUGAAUUUAGAUGUAGAGACCUAGGACUUUUGAAAUAUUUCUUUAGUAUAGAAAUUAGAUACAAUUUUGAUGGGUCACUUAACAUGACUCAAUCUAGAUAUGCAUUGAAUAUUUUAAGUAAAAACAACAUGCUAAAUUGUAAACUCAUAAGAACAUCAAUAUUGCAAAUUCCAAAUUGUCCAAAGAAAAUGGAGAAUUGUUAUAAGAUAUAGCAGCUUAUAGAGCCUUAGUUGGAUCCUUACAGUACAUACUUGGCACAAACAAGGCCCUGAUUUUAUUUAUGCAAUAAAUCAAGUGACUCAAUUUGUACAAGCUCCUAGAACUACUCACCUAGUAGCGGCCAAGAGAAUACUAAUGUAUAUAAAAUGAAUUUUAGAUCAUGGUCUUCAUUUUACCAAUACCAAAAGAACUGCCAUAAAUUGAUAGGUUUUUGUGAUGCUGAUCGAUUUUGCUGGUGAUCCAGACACCAGAAAAUCAACAACAGGCUAUUGUGUAUAUAUCGGAGGAAAUCUAGUGACAUGGUCAUCAAAGAAAUAGACAAUUAUUUCAAGAUCCAGUGCUAAGGCUCAAUAUAGAGCCUUAGCAAGUCAUACAACUGAAAUUAGAUGGACUCACUUCAUAUGUAAGGACCUUCUAUAUAAUUUACAUCAGAUACCUUUGUUAUAUACAGAUAACAGUUCAGCCAUUUUUAUGGCUAGAAACUGUUAAGUUUUGAUAUGUGUAUGAAAUAUAAUCCAAGUAUGGUUUAAUGAUUAAUCCAGAGUAAAGUAAAAUAGUGUUGAUGCAACGGAUAAUAUUGAUUGUUUAAUUUAUCUAAUGAGUAUGAUCAAGAUGUGUUGCAGGUAGAUAAUGUUUGACAGGGAUGAUAUAUAUAUGAUUUGUCCAAGUAGAUGCGGAGAUAUGUGUAUGCAUGCAAUAGAUAUCAGGUAUGAUAUAUAUAUGAAAUGUAAGCAGAUGAUUUAGCAAUACUGAGAUCGUUUGGAGAGCAAGGAGAUGACGAUGUAGGAGAGUCGAUGACUGAGUGUAGAGCAGAUCGGAGUGAAGCUGAUGAUGACUUUGAUCCACAGAUGAUGAUUAAUCCCAAAGGGAGUAUGAUUUUGAAACUUAGUAUCACAAACUGUAAAACAAUGUUAGGUUUGAGUUUGAUAUAUAUAGAUGGUUUAAAUGUUUGAUUCCAGCUUACAACGGUCAUAAGCUCAAGGUUCAACUGGCGCUUGUUGUCACUGUUGCUGAAGGCAAAGGUGACAUUAAGUGAUGGUUGGAGCUUCCUAGGAUUUUUACCAUAUUAAAGGUUUAGGUAUUAAAUUGAUCAUGUAAGGGUUUAAAUUAUAAAUUGGUUAAUGAGGGUUCAUAUUGUAAAUGUUGUAAAUGGAUUUAUGUAAUAAUUUUAUACGCCCCCUCAAAAGCGAGUUGGGCUGAAAAGAAACGAACUUUUGGACUGGUCCAUGUUCCAAUCUUUAAAUAUAAAAAGGGUUUUGUAAAUUUGAUUUUGGUUGUAAACACGAAUCGUCUUGUAGGGUUUCAGAGGGAAAUGAGGGUUUCACUGGAGGCAAGGGUUUGCUGGAGGCAAUCGUUCGGGUAUGUUUCUAGUCUUCUUCUUUUGUGCAUGUCGCUCUAUUCCUCUUGUUUAUGUUGUCUUUGGUUGGGUAUCCUUAUUCAUUUGUAUUCUUAAUGGGUUUUGUAGUGGGUGUUCUGUCUGUUAAUGUGUUUGCAUGUCAGUGUUUUCUUUCUUGGUGUUUGUUUUCCUUCAUCCAUUGUGUUUGUUUUCCUCUAUCAGUCUGUUCCGUGUAAGUUUUCCAUUUUCAGUUUCUUUUUGAGAUGAUUGAAUAGAUAUCCUGUAACAUCUUUUGUGAAGAUGUCUUCCACGUUUUCUUUGGUGUUUACCCUUUCUAUUUCAAUCUCUUUUUGUAAAGCUUUGUCUCUGAUCGUGUGUGUAUCGAUUUCUAUGUGUUUUGUUCUUAAUUUGAUGUAAGACUGGGUUUGUUGCAAUUGCAGUUGCAGAGGAACUAUUAAUUUGUAUAGAGUUUUGGAGUUACUAUAUUUACUUGCAUUUCCUUUAAUAGUUGUUUUAGCCAUGUGAUUUCACAAGUUGUGUGUGCUAAGGGUCGGUACUCUGCCUCUGCUGACGAUCUUGUUACUGUAUGUUGUUUUUUGGUUUGCCAUGAAACUAGGUUAUCAUUCAAGAAGAUGGCAAAUCCUGAUGUGGAUCGUCUGGUUGUGGGGAAAGAGGCCCAGUCAGAGUCUGAAAAUACUUUAAUCCUUGCGGUUCUUGUGCCUGAUGAGAAGAAAAGUCCACUUCCUGGUGAGUUUUUAAUGUAUCUUAAUAUUUUGUUCACCUUAGUAGAGUCUUCAUUUGUUGGUUCUGACAUGUGUUGGCUUAGUUGGUUUACUACAUAUGUUAUAUCGGGUUUGGUUACAGUUAGGUAGACAAGUUUUCCAACUAUGCAUCUGUACUCAGUAGGAUCAUCAAGUAAUUUAAUUUCCUUGUUCUGUUUGUUUGACGAUCUUGAUGGUGUAUAGAGUGGGUAUUCUCCUGGUUUAGCAUGUAGAUAGUUGUUUUGUUCAAGGAUUUCUAAUGCAUAUUUUCUUUGGCUUAUAAAAAUCCCAUGUUGUGUUGUUGUGAAUUCUAAUCCUAAGAAUUUUUUUAAUGUUCCUAGAUCUUUGAUGUUAAAAAAACUGGUUAAAUCUGUCUUAAGUUUGAUUAUUUCUUUUAAGUUAUUUCCUGUGAUUAAUAGAUCAUCUACAUAUGGUAGGAUGAAAAUUUUAUUUUUCCCAUUGAUCUUACCGAAGAGAGCAUAAUCCUCUCUUGUCUGUUUAAAACCUAAUUUGUUUAGUACUUGUUGUAGUUUGUUAAACCACAUUCUAGAUAUUUGUUUUAAGCUAUAUAGAGGUUUUGUUAAUUUGCAUGCUAGUUUGUGGUUGUCUGUUGGUUCUUUGUUGAUCCUUAGACCUUGGUGAGACAUGCCUGAUUACGACAGUCACUCCCAGCAACGCCUUUCAAUAAGGACUAGGGUUCCGUCACUUUACCCCCGGAAGGCUCCCACGGUGCGGAACAAGUUCAUCGUCAAAUCGCGAGUUAACCCGUAAAUCGCGAUUGGACUACCAAAUCGCCGAUUUUAUGGACAAAUCGUUGAGUUAGGGCCCAGAUCGGCAGUAUGGUAGACUGCAUAUCUCGCCCCUUGAAACUCGACGAGUUUACCCUAAUAGGCGAUUUUCAUACCUGAAUCGUCGAUUUACGACCGUUACUCGCCGCCAGCCAACGCCAUAAAUGAACCCAUAUAUGGCAAUAGGCCUCGAUAUCCUCCUUUGAUCGCGCCCUCCGAGACCCUAUAAAAAGGGUCCCAAGGGGACACUCAAAGGCACAACACAAGUUCCACUCUCACCAGAGCACCACUAAGAGAAUCGCCGAUUUCCACACCAGAAUCGCCGAUUCUCUCCUUUCAGGUAUUUGACGUAGAGCGCGCGUCGUGGACUCCAGAGCCUCCGGCAUCACCUCGCACUACCGCGAGCCUUGGUAGCAGAUUCAGUGCUUCAUCAGAAGGCAUUUUGAACAUCCAUCUGAUGGAGGUGCCAUCCUUGGUGAGACAUGCCUGAUUACGGCAGUCACUCCCAGCAACGCCUUUCAACAAGGACUAGGGUUCCGUCGCUUUGGCCGGACCCCCGGAGAGCUCCCACGGUGCGGAACACGUUAAUCGUCCAGAUCGCCGAGUUAGCCCGUAAGUCGCCCGAUUGGACUACCAAGUCUCCGACAUAAAGGAUAAGUCGCCGAUUUAAGGGCAAGAUCGGCAGUAUGGUAGACUGCACAUCUUGCCACUGGAAACUCGGCGAGUUAGCCCUAACUAGGCGACUUCCAUACCUGAAUCGCCGACUUACGAAAGUUACUCGCCACCAGCCAACGUCAAAAAUGUUACCAUAUAUGACCAAAGGCGCGAUGUCCGCCUUUGAUUGCGCCCUCCAAGACCCUAUAAAAAGGGUCCCAAGGGGACACUCAAAGGCAUGAUUCAAGUUCCUCUCUCACACCAGAGCAUCACUAAGAAACUCGUUGAUUCUCAUUAGAAUCGCCUAGUUUCUCCUUGCAGGUAUUUGACGUAGAGCGCGCGUCGUGGACUCCGGAGCCUCCGGCAUCACCUCGCACCACCGCGAGCCCUAGUAGCAGAUUCAGUGCUUCAUCAAAUGUUCUUCAGAAAAUCGAGAAUACAACUUGUACGUCACUGUUCUUUUAUUAUUUGGUUAUUUACAGUCUAUGGUUUUUAGUCCUUGAUAGAUAUUAGAUAUUUAAUAUUAUUUAUCUAAUAUAGGUUUUAUCUAUUUUUGUGGAUUUCUUUGUCGUUUUCUUUACAUGUCGAAUUUUAUUUAUUCUUGUUCUAUUAAUAGGUUAAUAAAUUCUUGUUCUAUUUGAAGAAGAGAGUUUCCCACCUCUUCCUCAGGUACGUACCUUCUCCAAGUUAUAACGGACCUGAUGGAGGUUAUUGAAUUCUUAAUCUACCCUCCUCCAUUAUAGUCUGGGGCAUAGAUGGGCAGGAAGGGGAAUCAUCUUUAGAUGGAGGUGAUCGCCACCACUAAGUCAGACUUUAUAACAUUCCGGUGAUGGAUAUACACUUCCGAUGUUAUAAAAUCAUAUUUAAAAAUCCAACCUUGUCUCUGAUACCAAAUGAUAGAAAUUAUCAUACUUUAUGAUCUAAGAUUUUUAUAUCAACAACCCAAUGAUCCAAGCCUGGAUUAACUUGAUAUCUUCCUAAGAGUCCAACCACAAAUGCAAUAUCUGGUCUAGUGCAUACCUGAGCAUACAUUAGACUUCCAUAAGGAAAUGCUUUCAUUUCAUUCUUCUGUAAGUCUGUUAGAGGACAUUGAGCUAAAUUCAAUUUAUCACAUUUUACAAUUGAAGCAACACUUGACUUACAUUCUGAGAGAUUAAACCUUUGUAAUAUACGAUCGAUGUAAGCUGAUUGAGAAAGACCUAACAAAUGUCUAGAUCGAUUUCUGUUGAUCUCAAUACCAAGAACAAAAGAUGCUUCACCCAAAUCUUUCAUAUCAAAUUCACUUGAUAAGAAUUUCUUUGUUUCAAAUAAUAUACUUAAAUCGUUGCAAGCAAGUAAUAUAUCAUCAACGUAUAGAACAAGCAAAACAUAUUUGCUCCCUCUGACCUUGUGAUAUAUACAUGGAUCCAUGAGAUUUUCCGAAAAACCAUAUGAAGAAAUGAUUUCAUGGAAUUUAAUAUGUCAUUGUCUUGAUGCUUGUUUAAGUCCAUAUAUAGACUUUUUAAGUCUACAAACAAGCUUGUCAUUUUCUUCAAAACCUUGUGGUUGCGUCAUAUAUAUUUCUUCAUUGAGAUUCCCAUUAAGAAAAGCGGUUUUAACAUCCAUUUGAUGUAGUUCUAGAUUGUAGUGAGCCACUAAAGCCAUAAUGAUUCUAAAAGAAUUCUUCGAGGAAACUGGUGAAAAUGUUUCAUGAUAUUCAAUUCUCUCUCUUUGAGUGAAUCCUUUGGCAACCAAUCUAGCCUUAAACCGCUAAAUCUUUCCUCUGGAAUCUCAUUUGGUUUUAAAAGCCCAUUUGCAACUCACAACUUUAACACCCUCAGGUAACUGAAUAAGUUCUCAUUCUUUAUUAUGGUACAUAGACUGCAUCUCAUCUUUCAUUUCAUCUUGCCACAAAUUAAUCACAUUGUGCACUUGCAACCGCUUGAUCAUAUGAGAUAGGGUCAACUGUACUACUACAACCAAUGUCAUAGUCGUAUUCUCCUAAAUAAACUUCAUAAUCAUUAGGGAUAGCUGAUCUUCUUUCUCGAGUAGUCCUCCUUGGUUCAAUAACUAGUGGAUCUACUGGUGUAAUAAUUGGUUCAUCAACUUGAGCAAUAACUGGUGUGUCAACGGAUGUCACUGAAGAUGUGGUUGGUUUAAUCGAAAAUAAGGGUAUAACUACUGUUAAUGGUUGAUGGUCCAAUGAAUUAGAAACCUCUGAAGUAUUAACAUCUGCUACAUCAUUUUCUAAGAAUUUUGCUGUUCGAGAAUCUACAAUUAUUGUUCCACCAUGAGGUCUAUAAAAUCGAUAUACCUUAUAAUGAUUCGGAUAUCCCACAAAAUAGCAUGUCACUGUUCUUGAAUCUAACUUGUUUAAUGUUGGAUUGUAUAAUUUCACCCCUACAGGAUAACCCCAAAUCUUCAAAUGAUUUAAACUAGGUUUUCUACCUGUCCAAAGUUCAAAAGGUGUAACUGGUACUGACUUACUUGGGACUCGAUCAAAAUAUACAAUGCUGCUUGUAUUGCUUCACCCCACAAGAAUGUUGUUAAAUUUGCUCUACUAGUCAUGCUUCUCACCAUAUCCAUUAGGGUACGAUUUCUUCUUUCUGCCGCUCCAUUCUGCUCAGGAGUUCCUGACAUAGUGUAUUGCCCAAUUAUUCCAGAUUCUUCCAAAUAUUAUGCAAAAGGACCUUUAAGUUGUCCAACAUCUCCAUGUUUACCGUAAUAUUCUACACCUCUAUCUAUCUGAUCUAACAAUCUUUAUAGAUUUUUCCAAUUGUUUCUCAACUUCUGUUUUGAAUACUUUAAAUUUCUCUAAAGAUUCAUAUUUUUCUUUGAUAAGAAACAAAUAGCCAUAUUUAGAAAAAUCAUCUAUAAAUGUUAUAAAAUAUAAGCAUCCACACAGAGUUUUAUGAUAUGGUCCACUAAUAUCCGUAUAAAUAAUCUCCAAAAGACUAGUGUUACGAGUAGCAGUCUUUUUGCCUUUCUUGGUCAUUUUCCUCUUAAGACAAUCAAUACAUUCUGCAUUGUCAUUAUCUAAAGAAGGAAGAAUGGUCGAUUUAACCAAUCUUUUAAUUCUAUCUUGUGAAAUAUGAUCUAACCUUUUAUGCCAUAACGUAUAUGAUUUUUCUUUAUUUAAGGGUCUUUUGGAAACUGUAUUUUCCACAUUACAAGCUAUAUAGAACUUCAUAGAAUCAAGACAUAAUCUGUAUAGGUCAUAAGACAAAACACAAUUACCCAUAAUCUUUGAGUUAUGAAACAUUGAAACUGUAUUGUUCUUAAAUUCAAAAGAAAAACCAUGUUUUCUUAAUUUACUAACAGAAAUUAGAUUCCGUCUAAACGACGGAGCAUACAAAGUGUCUUUCAAUGUUAAACCAAAUCCUGAAUCUAGAUUUAAAAUAACAUCGCCCACAAAUUCUAAAUCAGUUUGUCCAUCAUUUCCUACUAACAAUCUUGAUUCAUCCUGAUUUGGCUUCCUUCUAUUUGUGAAUCCCUGUAUGGUGAAUGCAACAUGAUUAGUUGCUCCACUAUCCAACAACCAAGAACUAGAUGAAGAUUCUAUUAAAUUAGAUUCAUAAACUAAUGUCAAAGAAUCAAUACCUUUUUGUUCCUGUUUUAUGAGCCAAGAUUUAAACUUUAAGCAAUUCUACUUUAUGUGUCCCGGUUUCAUACAGAAGAAACAUCCAUUGAUUGCUUUCUUGAGGGAGUUCUUGUUAGAACCAAAUUUGUCAGAUAAGUUGGUAUCCUUAGAAUCUUUAUUUUUCACAAACAUUUUGAACUUAAAUCCUUUCUUAUUUGAACUAUACAUUGUUAUCGAAGAUUUUUCGCCUUUUAUUUUAUCUCCUAUGUCUCCAAAUAAUUAUUUCUUUUAAUUCGAGCCCAGCUCGCGGGUUCGAGCCCGGGCCCAAACCUAACAAUUCUUAAAACGAGCCGAGCCCGAGCCUGGCUCUAUAAGCAAAAGCUCAACUUGUUUGACACCCUAAUCUCUGAUAAAUAUUCCGAGAAUAUUUUGCCACUUAUCUUCAAAUUCUGAAGUUUUUUGGCGUAGACUCAUCACAUACGAUCGAGAAUUAGAUGCAAAUUGCAUUUGAAGUGUUUCCCAUACCUCAUGUGCCGUAGCACAAUCAGAGACUUCCGACAGUACCGAGGGUGAAAUUGAUGAAAAUAGCCAUCCUAAAAUCAAUUGAUCUUGCUUGAUGGCAAGAGAGUUGUCCAAUUUUUCCCUACCGGCCAGAUAGUCCAUCAGCUCAUGACCUCGGAUAUUAGCCCCAAAUUGGGCUCUCCACGCGAAGUAAUUGCUGCGGUCUAGGGCUACAGUCUUGAAGUUCUUGGCGGUCACCUUUCCUGGUGCGUCGUUGCCAUAGAGCUUCUUUGCAGCCAGCGAAAUCCCUUUGUCAGCUUCGUCAAUCGACAUUGCGUAUCGGAAAAAAAUUGUGAUCGUCAACGAUCUUGGAGCGAUUCCGAUGAUCAGAGAUGUGCGGCUUCCCAAGAUCAGCUAGGCGAAAGGUACCAUAACAGUGAAUUGAAAUAUAUGAAUGGGGAAAGCCAAACUCGAUCCCUUUCAUAUUCAAUAGAAAGAUCUAUUUAUACAAUUUGUUACUCUAAUAUCCUAUUUGUUUGUUCUUUUGUAUUAUCGAUAUUUAUUGUCUAUUUUUUAUAAUGUUCUUGUCUAUUUUUAUAUUUACAGUCUAUGGUUUUUAGUCCUUGAUACUUGAUAGAUAUUUGAUAUCUAUUAUAUAUUUUAUCUAUUUUUAUGGUUUCUUUGUCGUUUUCUUUAUUCAUUUUUAUUCAUUCUUGUUCUAUUAAUAGGUUACCAAAUUCUUGUUCUAUUUGAAGAAGAGAGUUUCCCAUCUCUUACUCGGGUACCUUCUCCAAGUUAUAAGGAACCAGAUGGAGGCCAUUGAAUUGUUAGUCUACCUUCCUCCAUUGGAGUCUGAGGCAUAGAUGGACCGAAAGGAGAAUCAUCUAGCUUUAGAUGGUGGAGGAGAGCACGACUUGUGCUAGAACUUGUUCAAGAAAUUUGACAAAUUUACGCUUCUCAACCUUACUCAUGGCUCUCGCGUCUUGAUGUUUCAAGAGUUGUUCGUGGAGGGUACGUAAGGCUAUCCCCAAUUGAAUCUUUGACUGGGGGAGAGAUGAUUCCGUCAGGGAAUUUAAUGUAAAAAUUCGAAAAACAAACAGAUAACAUUAUUAUUAGAGGAAAUGUUUCAAAUAAAAUAUUUAAAAUGAUAUAUUUUGUGAAAUAUUAAUUUAGAACGUUCAUUUAUUUUAAAUUAAAUGAAACACAUAUUAAGGUAGAUCAUAUCUCGAGGUUGUAUAUCUCAAUUUACUCCAAAUAAAUAUGUUAGAUUAAUAUCUCAUUUGAAGUUUACCCUAUUAAUAGAUGAGAGAUCGGAGAUCGAACGACAGGAUGGAAUUAGUGGAAUGUUUUAGAGAUUAAUUUUAUACCAUUUAAAUGAAAUAAAAGAGUACUUAUACUAUUACAAUAUUUGUAAUUAAUUAAUUCUAAAGGAUUUUUAAUAUAAAAAUUCUAAUUGAAGCAGCGGUCUUCCGCUUCUCUCUCCGGCUCGGACCCGGUUCAUCACCGUUGGGUGAUUUUUUUUUACCGUGGUCUUCCCCCAAUUAAGUUAGGAUUUAGGUCGUCUUCUUCAACAACAACUCUUCUAAUCGUCAUGCUAUCUUCCUGGAUAGUGGAGCAGUCUAUCAGCAUCAUAUCAUCGUCGGCUUCUUCAGAUUCGGCAUUGUCUUCAAUGUUGAUAGGAGGGAAAAGACGCAACACAUCUUCAUGAAAUUCCCAAGACGAGUCCUCCGGUAUCGCUCCAUUCCAAGCGACCAGCCAUUGAUUUCUCUGUCUCGAUCUCACCCUGAAAAAUGGUACGUUUAUUAGAAUAAAUAACUUCUACUGUUUUGUUAGUUGAGUUUAAUAUUCUCAAAUACAAGUUUAUACAAUGAGUUAGUUGUUAGAGGUUAAUUAGUUUUAGAUACUCUUUCUUAUAAAUACUUUUGUAAGACUGUAUUCUUGGUUAAUGAAUUGAGUUCUUUCUUUUGAGAUUAUUGUUGAAUUGAGCUUGAAACAAGCACCAAAAUCUUGGUACUCAAGACUGAGUGCAUUCCUAAUAUUAAAUGAAUUCUCUAACAGUCUGGCAGAUACAUUAUUGUUUCAAAAAAAAGAUAAUAUUUUAAUUUGAGUAAUUGUGUAUAUAUAUAGAUGACAUUAUAAUUUCAAGAAACAACAACAUUGAAAUUGAAGUUUUUAUUAAAAAUCUUUGUACUGCAUGAAUUUAGAUGUAGAGACCUAGGACUUUUGAAAUAUUUCUUUAGUAUAGAAAUUAGAUACAAUUUUGAUGGGUCACUUAACAUGACUCAAUCUAGAUAUGCAUUGCUUAUUUUAAGUAAAAACAACAUGCUAAAUUGUAAACUCAUAAGAACAUUAAUAUUGCCAAAUUCCAAAUUGUCCAAAGAAAAUGGAGAAUUGUCCAAAGAAAUUAAGAUGACACCAGAAAAUCAACAACAAGCUAUUGUGUAUAUAUCGGAGGAAAUCUAGUGACAUGGUCAUCAAAGAAAUAGACAACUAUUUCAAGAUCCAGUGCUGAGGCUCAAUAUAUAGCCUUAGCAAGUCAUACAACUGAAAUUAGAUGGACUCACUUCAUAUGUAAGGACCUUCUACAUAAUUUACAUCAGAAACCUUUGUUAUAUACAGAUAACAGUUCAGCCAUUUUUAUGGCUAGAAACUGUUAAGUUUUGAUAGGUGUAUGAAAUAUAAUCCAAGUAUGGUUUAAUGAUUAAUCCAGAGUAAAGCAAAAUAGUGUUGAUACAGCGGAUAGUAUUGAUUGUUUAAUUUAUCUAAUGAGUAUGAUCAAGAUGUGUUGCAGGUAGAUAAUGUUUGACAGGGAUGAUAUAUAUAUGAUUUGUCCAAGUAGAUGCGGAGAUAUGUGUAUGCAUGCAAUAGAUAUCAGGUAUGAUAUAUAUAUAUGCAGGUGAUUUAGCAAUACUGAGAUCGUUUGGAGAGCGAGGAGAUGACGAUGUAGGAGAGUCGAUGACUGAGUGUAGAGCAGAUCGGAGUGAAGCUGAUGAUGACUUUGAUCCACAGAUGAUGAUUAAUCCCAAAGGGAGUAUGAUUUUGAAACUUAGUAUCACAAACUGUAAAACAAUGUUAGGUUUGAAUUUGAUAUAUAUAGAUGGUUUAAAUGUUUGAUUCCAGCUUAUAACGGUCAUAAGCUCAAGGUUCAACUGGCGCUUGUUGUCAAUGUUGCUGAAGGCAAAGGUGGCAUCAAGUGAUGGUUGGACCUUCCUAGGAUUUCUAUCAUAUUGAAGGUUUAGGUAUUAAAUUGAUCAUGUAAGGGUUUAGAUUAUAAAUUGGUUAAUGAGGGUUCAUAUUGUAAAUGUUGUAAAUGGAUUUAUGUAAUAAUUUUAUACGCCCCCUCAAAAGCGAGUUGGGCUGAAAAGAAACGAACUUUUGGACUGGUCCAUGUUCCAAUCUUUAAAUAUAAAAAGGGUUUUGUAAAUUUGAUUUUGAUUAUAAACACGAAUCGUCCUGUAGGGUUUCAGCGGGAAAUGAGGGUUUCACUGGAAGCAAGGGUUUGCUGGAGGCAAUCGUUCGGGUAUGUUUCUAGUCUUCUUCUUUUGUGCAUGUCGCUCUAUUCCUCUUGUUUAUGUUGUCUUUGGUUGGGUAUCCUUAUUCAUUUGUAUUCUUAAUGGGUUUUGUAGUGGGUGUUCUGUCUGUUAAUGUGUUUGCAUGUCAGUGUUUUCUUUCUUGGUGUUUGUUUUCCUUCAUCCAUUGUGUUUGUUUUCCUCUAUCAGUCUGUUCUGUGUAAGUUUUCCAUUUUCAGUUUCUUUUUGAGAUGAUUGAAUAGAUAUCCUGUAACAUCUUUUGUGAAGAUGUCUUCCACGUUUUCUUUGGUGUUUACCCUUUCUAUUUCAAUCUCUUUUUGCAAAGCUUUGUCUCUGAUCGUGUGUGUAUCGAUUUCUAUGUGUUUUGUUCUUAAUUUGAUGUAAGACUGGGUUUGUUGCGAUUGCAGUUGCAGAGGAACUAUUAAUUUGUAUAGAGUUUUGGAGUUACUAUAUUUACUUGCAUUUCCUUUAAUAGUUGUUUUAGCCAUGUGAUUUCACAAGUUGUGUGUGCUAAGGGUCGGUACUCUGCCUCUGCUGACGAUCUUGUUACUGUAUGUUGUUUUUUGGUUUGCCAUGAAACUAGGUUAUCAUUCAAGAAGAUGGCAAAUCCUGAUGUGGAUCGUCUGGUUGUGGGGAAAGAGGCCCAGUCAGAGUCUGAAAAUACUUUAAUCCUUGCGGUUCUUGUGCCUGAUGAGAAGAAAAGUCCACUUGCUGGUGAGUUUUUAAUGUAUCUUAAUAUUUUGUUCAACUUAGUAGAGUCUUCAUUUGUUGGUUCUGACAUGUGUUGGCUUAGUUGGUUUACUACAUAUGUUAUAUCGGGUUUGGUUACAGUUAGGUAGACAAGUUUUCCAACUAUGCAUUUGUACUCAGUAGGAUCAUCAAGUAAUUUAAUUUCCUUGUUCUGUUUGUUUGACGAUCUUGAUGGUGUAUAGAGUGGGUAUUCUCCUGGUUUAGCAUGUAGAUAGUUGUUUUGUUCAAGGAUUUCUAAUGCAUAUUUUCUUUGGGUAAUAAAAAUCCCAUGUUGUGUUGUUGUGAAUUCUAAUCCUAAGAAUUUUUUUAAUGUUCCUAGAUCUUUGAUGUUAAAAAAACUGGUUAAAUCUGUCUUAAGUUUGAUUAUUUCUUUUAAGUUAUUUCCUGUGAUUAAUAGAUCAUCUACAUAUGGUAAGAUGAAAAUUUUAUUUUUCCCAUUGAUCUUACUGAAGAGUGCAUAAUCCUCUCUUGUCUGUUUAAAACCUAAUUUGUUUAGUACUUGUUGUAGUUUGUUAAACCACAUUCUAGAUGCCGAUCCAGAGGCUCAAUCGCCGACUCCCCAUGAGCCUAGUGGCAGUCUACCAGAACUGUCCACGAAGCCUAGAGUCAGCGAUUCACCCCUGAAGUCGGCGACUUGGUAGUCCCAGUCGGCGACUCCCAGGUGCUGCCUUGAGUACUUGACGUAGACACUCCUUCCAAAUUCGUGGAACUCUUCGAGGGUCCGGCAUAAGGCGACGGAACCCUAGUCCUUGUCGAAGGGCGUUGCUGGGAGUGGCUGACGUGAUCAGGCAUGUCUCACCAGUACUCCCCCCUGAAGAGAGCAUGGCAAAACACCUGUGUACCGCCAGUAUCCCCCCCAAGCAAGGUGAUCUGCAUCAAGGCGAGUAGCGACAAGAUGGGAUUGAGUCAUUGCGCUCACAGCGACACUAAUGGCUCCGCAUGGUCCAUGCACUAUCAGAUGGACUGAUUCACUAUCAGAAUCUAGUUCCAGGCCAAUGGAACUACAUGUUUAUAGUCCUACUCUGAUCAAGAGCGACUUUUGCUGUGUGGAUUCUGGCCGAAGCGACAAAAUGCAUGGAUUCACUAUUAGAAUCUGAUUCUGGCCGAAGCGACAGAAUGCGUGGAUUCACUAUUAGAAUCUGAUUCUGGCCGAAGCAACAGAAUGCGUGGAUUCGUUAUCCGAAUCGGGUUCUGGCCGAAGCGACAAAUCGCGUGGAUUCAUUAUUAGAAUAUGAUUCUGGCCGAAGCGCGAGAAUGCGUGGAUUCGUUAUCCGAAUCGGGUUCUGGCCGAAGCGACAAAUCGCGUGGAUUCAUUAUUAGAAUCUGAUUCUGGCCGAAGCCCGAGAAUCUAGUUCACUAUCAGAACUGAUGUUUAUAGUCUACCCUGAUCAAGAGCGACUUGGUGUCCGCAACGACGGUUACCCCAUAGGCCGAAGCGCAAGAUGGGUCGAGAUCAUUAAGGUCAAAGCGACAAAAUGAUCUCCAAAUGUUCGAAGGACUAUUGAAGCCAAAGUGACAACAUAAUUCUUGCCGAAGCGACAGAAUCAUGCCUGCAAAACAAAAAACAACCUGCAAAACAACUAUAUCAGUCUAAAGGAUAUAUUUAUUGAUUUACUGACCUUGCCGUGCGGAGCAGCCUCUCAUGCUGCUCCUCCUUAUGCUCAAUAAAUCCUUGAUUGAUCUGUCCGAAGCGACAGAUCUUUCAUGCUAAAAAAUGUGACAGCUUCUGGCCGAAGCGACAGAAGUGCCGACUCACUAUUAGAGUCUGAUUCUGACCAAGGCUACAGAUCCACNNNNNNNNNNNNNNNNNNNNNNNNNNNNNNNNNNNNNNNNNNNNNNNNNNNNNNNNNNNNNNNNNNNNNNNNNNNNNNNNNNNNNNNNNNNNNNNNNNNNNNNNNNNNNNNNNNNNNNNNNNNNNNNNNNNNNNNNNNNNNNNNNNNNNNNNNNNNNNNNNNNNNNNNNNNNNNNNNNNNNNNNNNNNNNNNNNNNNNNNNNNNNNNNNNNNNNNNNNNNNNNNNNNNNNNNNNNNNNNNNNNNNNNNNNNNNNNNNNNNNNNNNNNNNNNNNNNNNNNNNNNNNNNNNNNNNNNNNNNNNNNNNNNNNNNNNNNNNNNNNNNNNNNNNNNNNNNNNNNNNNNNNNNNNUAUUAGAACCUUUCCUGCAAAAAAGAAAACAUCCUGCAAAAUAACUAGAUCAGUUCGAAAACGCAUAUAUUUAUUAUUGAACUUACCGUGUGAUCUACCUUUCGUGAUGUCCCUCCUUUGCUCAAAUUUGUCCUCGGUAAAUCUGGCCGAAGCGACAGAUUUUACCGUGCUCAAUUUCUUUGACGACUUCUGGCCGGAGCGACAGAAGUGUCGGGAGAGCUUGUGAUACUCCCCCCUGAAAUGUGACGACUUCCAUCCUAUAGACAGAAGUGCCGGGAGAGCUUGUGAUACUCCCCCUCGAAAUGUGACGACUUCUAUCUAAAUAGACAGAAGUGCCGGGAGAGCUUGUGAUACUCCCCCUCGAAAUGUGACGACUUCCAUCCUAUAGACAGAAGUGUCGGGAGAGCUUGUGAUACUCCCCCCUGAAAUGUGACGACUUCCAUCCUAUAGACAGAAGUAUCGGGAGAGCUUGUGAUACUCCCCCUCGAAAUGUGACGACUUCCAUCCUAUAGACAGAAGUGUCGGGAGAGUUUGUGACACUCCCCCUCGCGAAUUGUGCCCUUGUGACACAAAAACAUUUGCGACGAGUGUUUUUCGAAGUAUGUGACUGUCGGUGAACUAUCUAUUGUUUUUCCUUUGCUAAUCUUUCAUAUAAAUUACCCUUCAAAUUGUAACUAAGGCCCGAAACUAGAUUCACAAGUCGUAAUUUAGCCACUCUGGACGUAAAUUAGACUCUGCUAACCCUAUUGCUAGCCACUCUGGGCAUAGACUUGGUCGUACGAAUCGUAGCUCAGUCUACGGUUAAAUUUAUGGACAAUUUAUACCUCUAGACUAGCGUCGGAUUACUAGAGAUAGAGUAAACGACGAAUCAGAGAUAUUCGACACUCAAAGGUUGCCUUAAAAUUCGGAACCUUAACGAUGGAGAGAGCUUGUGAUACUCCCUCCUGAAAUAUGAUGACUUCUGGCCGAAGCGACAGAAGUGUCGGGAGAGUUUGUGAUACUCCCCCCUUGAAAUUUGACAACUUCUGGUCGAAGUGACAGAAGUGUCGGGAGAGUUUGUGAUACUCCCCCCUGAAGACUUGCACUUGGGGCAGUUUUAGUGUUAUUUUACCCGGAAUCGGCAACAAGAGUUUGUGAUACUCCUACAGUCGGCGAUACCUAUGGUUUGGGUAACUGUAGAGGGUAUUUUUGUUUUUUACCCCUGCGAGUCGGCGACUCCCUCUGUGAGUCGGCGACUCCUAGUGUAACCGCCGGAUCUUUUUGGGAGAUCCUUGGGAUAUUGGGAAGAUAUACGGGGAUUAUUUGUAAAAUCUCCAAAUAAGGAAAUUUUUCUCACAGUGCUGUGAGUUUUUGCCCGGAGUCGACGACUGCCCUGUGGAGUCGGCGACUUGGCGUGAUUCGGGGGAUUUGGAGAUCGAUUCUUGAUCUCAAAUUUUGUAAAUUUUGGGUUUUCUAGGGGGUUUUUGCAAUUUUCCCAAGGGCUAUAAAUAGUGGAGAGGUUUUCCCCAAACCCUCACAACACUUUUGCCACUCUUAAAUCGCCCACACCUCCAGAUUUUUGAAUCGUCGAUUCUUCAGUUUUAAAACUUCGAAUCGCAGAUUCCCCCAAUGUCUACCCCCGAUUCCCCUUUGUCUCCAUUGAAGGAAAACGAAACGUCAGCUUUCAUAGCUGAGAUGAUUGUGGACAACCUUGAUGAGGUGUUGAACACCGUUGAAUCGCCGAUUCCCUCUCCUGACAGAGAGGUUGAGCCGGCGAUUCCGGUCGUGCCACCUCAUGGAAUGGAGUUGAGUGCCACCGUGCACGAACUACUUGGCGCCUCGCCAGUGUCGGCGACUCCCCUUGUGGAGUCGGCGACUCAGUGCAGGGCCCUUGUAGUCGUACGGGAGCCUCUUGAGCUGGGGGAAAUUCCCGUGGCCUCUGUGUCGGCGACUCCCAUUGUGGAGUUGGCGACUCACGCAGGUCCUGUUAAAGGGAAAUCCUUCAAGCGAAGGGGGCAGGGCUCAGCUGCCAUUGGGUCGGCGACUGCUGGCCAUGCCUCGCCGAUUCCUAUCAUUGAAUCGGCGACUCGUGUGCUGGAGUCGGCGACUCCUAUGCUUAUUGAUGAUUCUUCCGCGCGUCGCACCGUACCAUUGGUCAUGAGCGCGGAAGGCCGAAUCGUGUCGGGACUGAACCCGAACCAAGGUCCUUCUCUGAAGAGAAAGAGAAGGCGCACCACUGGGAAGGGCAAAGUACGCGUGCCCGAAGAGAACGAAGGGGUCCCUCCUCCAUUGAAUAUAAACUUCGAGGAGACCUUGACUGUGGACCGUGGUGCUCAAAAUCCAUGACGUAGAGCGGGCCGGCGCUCUGAGAGAACUCCGCCACCUCCCGUGGAUCUGAACGCUAGUCGAGACCCGGACCUCGACUUGAACACGUACGUUGGAGCUUUGAACCCCUCUGGGUUCGCUCACUGUGAAAUCGCCGCGAAUGGCAUACCAAGGUUGCUUCCUAUCGACCGUUUUGGGGACGGCGAUUAUGAACAAGUGAUGACUCAUGCAACCUUGGAUGGGUCCGAUGGAGUGAAUCCCCCCUCCAAUUUGAAUGCGAGCGACGCUCGAUCACUGCUGUCGGGGAUUCAGAUAUCUGGUCAUCUGCGAUUCUGGAUGUCGCGAUACCAGCCGAUUAAUCUGCCAUCCCCGGGAUUCUAGGCUAUCCCGAGGAUCUACUUCAAGCACUUCUCCGAGCUGCCAAUUCCGGAGAUCAUCAGUGAAGUGCUCUUGAGAUUUGAAGUGUCCCUGUCGCAGCUCCCUGCGGGAUUCUUUGUGAUCCUGCGUGGUUUCAUGAACAUCUGCUGGGGGCUCAAUGUUGCUGCGACGGCGAGCUUGUUUCUGUACUUCUACAAGCUCACCAGAGAGAAGUCUGCAUCCGGUCGCUUUGGAUUCACGCGGCGACACUUUGACAAAAAUAUCGUCGACGAGCUCCCGACGAACUUCGGAUGCAACUGGAGAAAAGAGUUUAUCUUCAUAACUUCUGAAUUUCUUCCCGGGAGUCGGGAAAUGUGGAAUGACCCUAAUCGAGUGCAUAUGAACGCCUCGAUCGAGCUGAGUACGAGGGAUAUUGAGGUCUCGGAUCGGAUAGCGCGUACGCUUACUGCAUACUCUGUGCCGCGCGGUGUUCCCUUUGUCCUUUGCCAAAGGGAAGACUUUACAUUUGAUGAUAUUGAGGAAGCUCGUGAGCCACCCACUGAGAAAGAGCUGGAAGGUGGACAAAAACGAUCGAUCCUAUACCACGACGCUGCACCUCUUUAUAUGCGCAAGAGGUUCCGAGAGGGCAAGCUGAUCAGAUUGCGAAAGAAGAAGACCUCUCGCAGCGAGCCUCGCCGGACCUUUGAGCAUGGGUCGAGCUCUCGCUCUGCACCACCACCUCCCAGGGGCUAUGUGCCUUACACUUCUGCUGGAGUGACACUUCCCGACUUCAUGGCUGAUGCUGAAACUCGAAGGGAAGCGAUGUCACUCCUUUUGGGUCAUCCUGGGACCUGGUGCCGGAGCGAGCUCUUAAAGCAUUUGAAUGCCGCAUGCUAUAUGGCACAUGCUUGUUAUCAUGGAGACUCUAUCCAUGACGUCGAGAAGAUACAAGAAAAAUACAACCAACUCGACGCGAAGUUCAAAGAGAGCGAGAAGGCUCUCGAUAAGCUGAAGAAUAUGAGGUCCAGGAUGGAGAACCUCCGUGACAAUAUUCUGCCGAAGAAGGACAAGACCAUUGAGUCCAAGCAGAAAGAAAUAGAUGAGUAUGUCACGAAGAUCUUGGCGCUUCGCAAAGAUCUGAAAGUUGCUAGUUCUGGCAGCACUAAAGACAUUGAAGAUCUAAAGAGCCAACUAGCUAAUGAGAAAGGGUACGUGGCCUCGCUUGAGGCUACGGUAGCGGAGUUGAAGAAGCAAGCUGCUCAGAGCCAACGAGAAACCACUGAGCUGAAAAGCGAGCUUGCAAGUGCGGAAGAAGAGGUUCUGACUCUGAAAGAUGACAAUGCCGCACUUGCUGGGAGAGCUGCUGGGUUGGAUUUGGAUGUACGUUACCAAUCCGACCAGCUUCAAGAGCUCAUAUUCUUUGGUCCUUCCGUGUAUCCUGCUCUACCCCCCGACUACAUCACGGACAUAAUGGCGUGGGUAGAGCAACAUCCUGAAGAGCUCGAGAAAAAUAAAGAAGCUCUCGACAAGAUGAAGGACGAAGCCGCGCGAGAAUAGAUUUUCUAAGUCCUUUUAUUUUGUAACCUUUUUGUACUCGUUAUCUUUUUGUAAAUCUGAAAAUUUUUAAUGAAAUUAAUCGCUUUUGCUUUUCUAUUCAAUUGUUCAUUUACUUUAUUCUUUUGAAUUGUAACUAAGACCCGAAACUAGAUUCGCGAGUCGUAAUUUAGCCGCUCUGGACGUAAAUUAGACUAACCCUAUCGCUAGCCACUCUAGGCGUAGACUUGGUCGUACGAAUCGUAGCUCAGUCUACGGUUAAAUUCGCGAAAAUAAACUAAACUUUACAACUAAUAGUAAGUCGCAAUAUCGAUUAACAAAUUCGAAAGAUAACAAAUAUGUCGAAAGAUAACUAUCAAUCCUAAGACUCUAGAGUUGUAGUUUUGCUCCAGCCAAGGUGACGGAGCAACUUUUUGUCCCAUACCAAAGAUGUAACAAUGAGAUGGGGUGAAAAUUUAAAAACGUUUACUAAUCUAUUAAGGCCGUAGCGACAUGAUAGAUUUUGAUUUGUGGUGGGUACUUAGAACCUCUUGUGGUUGGGUUCACUUGUCCCUAUCAACUACCUAGGACUCUGCUUUUAGACCCUAAUGCGUGGUUGAACUCUGGCCAUGAUGACAGAGCAACUUUUUGGACCCAUAUCUGGGCUGAAGUGAUCAUAAUGUGUUUAAAGAUAAUUUUGAUCUAUUAAGGCAAUAGCGACAAAAUAGAUUCAUAAAGUGGGGUGCUAGCUAGAGUCGUAGGUAGAUGAUAAAUCUAAAUUUUAUUAAAAGAUGUAAAUUACAACAGUAAGAUUUGUAAUUUUUAAACUAACACAUAGACUAAGAGGCUCUAACGUGCUUAAUACUAAGUGCGAUGUUGCUGUACGUUGUCCGUGUGCCAGAUGCAAGGACUUUUGGGUGACAGCUUAUUCCUAUUCCUCUUAGUUAUGCUAGCCUUUCUGUUGGUCUACCACCAGAUAGCAUAUGGAUGGUUUUCCGUGGGUGAUCUUCCCUAUUGUCACUGUCUGGUGAAGGAGAGCGUGGGCGCUUCCCAUUCACGUCAGACUUGCAAUUGUUUCGAUCCCGGGAUCCUUUGACCAGGCUGUCAAGUUCGCCGUUCGAAAUUAAUUGCUCGACAUAAAGCGAGAAUUCCCUGCAAUAGUCUGUCAGAUGGUCGUGGUCCUUGUGGAAUUCACAGAAUUUUCCACUUUUCUGGCGGCGAUCCUUGGUUGCAGGGUUCAUAGAGCGAGGAGCGGGCAGAUCCGCUCUGUUCUUCAGUUUUUCAAACAGCUCGCCUUUGCUGAUUGUUAGUGGGGUCCGGUUCCUCCAAGGUUGAGGUGGACCCCUUGGCGAUCGUUUGACGGAUAUUUGAUACACUUUGUUAUCAUGUUUAGGCUUCCAAUCCUUUCUGAAGGAAUCAGCCGCAUUGCUAGUGUAUCUGUUCGAGGAGUCAUUGUAGCUCUUUCUCUCGAACUUUUGUUUUUUGAAGCUAGUGUUCUCGAGUUCCACUAGCUUGUUUUCAUUCUGCUCUUCCACCUCAAUGAAUGACUGAGCUCGUUGGAAGAGGUCGGGUAAGGUCUCCACUUUGUGGAGUGUGAGAUUCAGGGCCAGAGGGGAGUAGGGUACCAGCACGUUUGUAUACCCCGCAAUGGCCAAACUUGGGAUUAAGUCGCUCACUUCUGUCAUCAUUGAAGUGAACUUAAACGUGUAAUCCCUUAGAGACAGUUUGUCCUGUCGUAGCGCCAAUAGUGCAUUGACGCUGUGUUUGAUCCUGAUCAUCCCCACAUGCUGGGCGAUGAAUUUGGAUGCGAGGUCUGCAAAGCAGGAAAUUGAUCCGGCUGGCAGACCAGAAAACCAUCGAUAGGCAUUGCCCUUAAGAGUGCCGGGGAAUGCUCGACACAGCAGUGCGUUAUCAGUGGUUUGCGGUUCCAGAACGCUGAGGUAGAGGUUGACGUGAUCUUGUGGAUCACUCGAACCAUCGUACGAUUCUAUUCUGGGUACCCGCCAGGUUGGUGGAAAGGCCACCUUCAAAAGGUCCUCUUGGAAAGGAGCGCUUUUGACUCUUAAGAACUCGAUCGGAUUGCUGAUGACUAGAGUGUCAGCCAGCUUCCGACGGAGGUCCUCUACGAAUCGUGUUGUAAGAGUCCUAUCAGUGCGACUCUUACUGGGUCCAGCUCUUAAUUUUUCUGGCUCUGGACCUUUCUUUUUCUCCGUAGUUGGAGAAUUGUGAGAAGCCGAUUUGGUAAGACAUGCCUUAUUACACCAGUCACUACCCAUCAACGCCUCUCAACAAGGACUAGGGCUCCGUCGCUAUGGCAGGACCCCCGGAGAGCUCCCACGGUGCGGAACACGUUCAUCGUCCAGAUCGCCGAGUUAGCCCGUAAAGUCGCCCGAUUGGACUACCAAGUCGCCGAGUUAAGGCAAGAUCGGCAGUAUGGUAGACUGUACGUCUUGGCCCUAGAAACUCGCCGAGUUAGCCCUUAACUAGGUGACUUCCAUACCUGAAUCGGCGACUUACGACCGUUACUCGGCGACAGCCAACGUCAUAAAUGUUACCAUAUAUGACCAUAGGCGCGAUCUCCGCCGAUGAGUGCGCCCUCCGAGACCCUAUAAAAGGGGUCCCAAGGGGACACUCAAAGGCACGAUUCAAGUUCCACUCUCACACCAGAGCACUACACUACGAAACUCGGCGAGUCUCAUUAGAAUCGCCUAGUUUCCACUUGCAGGUAUUUGACGUAGAGCGUGCGUCGUGGACUCCAAAGCCUCCGGCAUCAACCUCGCACCACUGCGAGCCCUGGUAGCAGAUUCAGUGCUUCAUCAGCUGACGCCGUCUGUGGGACUACCGAACCACCGGUAUCCCGUCGUAAUCGCGAUUUUUUAAAAAUCCGGCUCGAGCUCUCCCAAGAGUUCGCCGAGUUUGUCAAAAAAUCGCCUACUUAGAUCGUCCGAUUCUCGGUUAACGUCCGAUUUAGCCUUAAAUCGCCGACUUAUCCUUGAGAAUCGCCCGAUCCGGAAUAUCGUCUGCUAGCUAAGAGUGUUGUCCACGACCUUGUUCGGAAAAACCCCUAACUCGCCGAGUUAACACUUAACUCGCCGACUUAGCUCUUGUUUUCCCAACAGGCUCAGUCAGGUACCUCUCUGCUUUGGUACUUCCUCGCUUUCGCUUUCAUGGCAAUCAUCGAAAAGCAGAAGCACCCUUACGCCACAAGAAGUAAGGGGAAAAUGCCAGCAACUGAGCUGGAACAGGGUGAGCAAUCCCGACCUAAGGGACCCAUCAAUGCUCAACCUGUGGAAACAAACUCGGUUCCUCCUCCUGUCGAGGAACACAUUAUGCCCAAGGCUCCACCCACCUUGGAAGAAAGGUUGUUCAGUUUCAUGGACAACAUUGAAAGAAGGAUGACUAACCUCGAGCAAGCGAGGAGUCAUAGGACCACCACCAUCCGUGAAAGAACGGACGAAUCUGGGUCCAUCUAUUCUCCAUCUGCGGAGAAAAAACAGAGUUCCCGUCCCAAGACGGGACCCAGUAAGAGUCGCUCCGAGAGGACUCUUACUACUCGGUUCGUAGAGGAUCUUCGGCGGAAGUUGGCCACCGACCCAGCCGUCGGCAACACGCACGAAAUCCUGAGGGUUAAAAGUCCUCCUCUUAGCGAGGACCUUUUAAAGGGAGUUUUCCCACCCAACUGGCGGGUACCAAGAAUCGAGGCAUACGACGGUUCAAGUGAUCCAGAAGAUCACGUGAACCUCUACCUCAACGUCUUGGAACCGUAAACCAUCGAUGAUGGGCUGCUGUGUCGGGCAUUCCCCGGCACUCUCAAAGGCAGCGCUUAUCGAUGGUUCUCUGGUCUGCCAGCUGGCUCAGUCACCAGCUUUGCAGACCUCUCAUCCAAGUUCAUCGCCCAACACGUGGGGAUGAUAAGGAUUAAACAUAGUGCCAACGCACUCCUGGCACUGAGACAGGACAAACUGUCUCUGAGGGACUAUACGGUCAAGUUCACCACAAUGAUGACAGAGGUGAACGACCUAAUCCCGAGUGUGGCCAUAGCGGGAUACAUUAGAGGAUUAGUCCCCUACUCCCCUCUGGCCCAAAAUCUGACUCUCUACAAGGUGAGUUCUCUGCCCGAACUCUUCCAACGCACUCAAUUGUACAUUGAGGUGGAAGAGGAGGACGAGAACAAGCUAGCUGAACUUGGGACUCCUAACUUCCAAAAGCCUAAGUUUGAGAGGAAGGGGUACAGUGGAAACAACAAUUUCCACGACACCUCCAACAAGUAUACCAGUAACAAGGCCGAGACUUCCAAAAAAGAAUGGAAGCCUAGGCAUGAUAACAAGAUAUACCAAGCCUCAACCAGCAAGCCAAAGGGUGUAAUUCCACUAUGGAAAAGAAACACCCCGCUUACUAUCAGAAAAGGCGAGCUGUUUGAGAAGCUAAAGAACCGAGCGGACCUACCUGUCCCUCGUUCUUUAGACCCUGCAGGCAAAGAGGGUUGCAUGCAAUCUGGGAAAUACUGUGAAUUUCAUAAAGACAGCGGCCACCUAACAGAUAACUGCAGGGAGUUCUCGUCUUUCGUCGAACAGUUGAUCUCAAAGGGAGAACUUGGCAACUUCGUCAAGAACUCCCGAGGACGGGACAACUGCAAAUCUGACACAAAGGGGAAGCGUCCGCGCUCUCCUUCGCCAGACACUGACAACAGCGAGAACCGCCAGCGGAAGACCAUCAAUAUGAUAUUUGGUGGUGGAUCCGUUGGCCAGAACAGGGGAUAUUCCCGAAAGGUGUUGAUGUCACAGUCAACACCUCGAGACAACGGAAAGCGGUAACAACUUGGAGCUAUCUUAAAAAGGAUACAUUAAAGAGUAACAAAAAUGAUAUUGGAUGGUUCUAUUCCAUUUCCAUCUUGAGAAAAGACAUAAUUGUGAUACAAUGUUCUUCAGAAGAUCGAGAAUACAACUUGUACGUCCCUGUUCUUUUAUUAUUUGGUUAUUUACAGUCUAUGGUUUCUAGUCCUUGAUAGAUGUUAGAUAUUUAAUAUUAUUUAUCUAAUAUAGGUUUUAUCUAUUUUUGUGGAUUUCUUUGUCGUUUUCUUUACAUGUCGAUUUUUAUUUAUUCUUAUUCUAUUAAUAGGUUAAUAAAUUCUUGUUCUAUUUGAAGAAGAGAGUUUCCCACCUCUUCCUCAGGUACGUACCUUCUCCAAGUUAUAAGGGACCUGAUGGAGGUCAUUGAAUUCUUAGUCUACCCUCCUCCAUUAUAGUCUGGGGCAUAGAUGGGCAGGAAGGGGAAUCAUCUUUAAAUGGAGGUGAUUGCCACCACUAAGUCAGACUUUAUCACAUUCCGGUGAUGGAUAUACACUUCCGAUGUUAUAAAAUCAUAUAUAAAAACCAACAUUGUCUCUGAUACCAAAUGAUAGAAAUUAUCAUACUUUAUUAUCUAUGAUUUUUAUAUCAAGAAUGUAAUGUACUUACAGAUUCAAACGCAACUUGUGUUGAAUCCAUUACAACGGAAGUACAUACUUGAUCUCUGUAUGUUUCUUUUGCCUUUCUUCUGAGAUUUUCUCUUUUUUGGGAUUCCUGAGACUUGUCUCUAUUGGAUGUCUUCUUUUGGACUAGUAGAAUAGACGAUGUUUCUUUAACCCUCAUAUCUUAUUUAUAUAAAAGCAAUGGGUUAUUUACACAUUGAUCCAUAUAUUGAUACUCCCACUUGAUCUACUACACAUAUAUUAACCUUUACUCAACCAUAUAAACAAUCUUUAAUGCAUGCUUUGUUUAUUUUUCUUUUUAAGUCUACACUCGGUCUCAUAAAGACAACAAUAAUAAAUCACAGCGUCACUAUGUCUAAAUGUGCAACAUAGAAACUUCUGUGUAUCACAUUACGUUCGUCUUUAUUAACAUUAGCUUCAUGUGGUAGUGCAGCAAACUGAAUGAUACUUUAUAUAUGUAUCAUUUUAUUGUCAGUCCUCUGUAAUCUAAUCCUUAUGGUGAGCCCAUACUCACACUAGACAUUAUUUAUGAUUCUCAUGAACCUUAAUCAAUUUAUGUAUCAUUUUUCUUCUUUAUUGUGAAAUACAUCACACAAAAAAAAAAUGUAUACCUACUAUAUUAUUUUCUCAUCUUUAUUGUAAAAACCAUCACAAAAGAAAAUUUUAACUUUAUAAUUUCAUUUUUAUUGUGAAAAUCAUCACAAGAGUAAAAUUUAACUUUAUAAUCUCAUCCUUAUUAUGAAAUUCAUCACCGGAGACCUUGUUUAAUUUCUUAAUUCAUUCUCACAAAUUAAUCAGAGUUAAAUAAGAAAUUGACAAAUCAUUUAUUAAAAUACAAUUAUUGAAGUUUUGAUAAUCUAAUAAAUAAAUUAAAUCUGAGUAUAAAUAAUAAUAAUAAAUUAUUACAAGAUUGAAAAUAUAAAAUAUUACAUAUGGAAAUAAAAUUACUUUCACUUAAACGAUGACAUCCCAAGAACCCAACAAACUCAUUGCUAAAAUAUGUGAAUUUAGUAUGUUAGGUUGUCCUUUAGUGAGUGGAUCAGCUAGCAUAUCAUUAGUACUAAUAUGACCGACUAUGAUAUCAUUUUCUCUACCUUUUUCUUUGAUUUUUAGAUACUUCAAUUUUAUAAACUUUGUAGACGUGACACUUUUGUUGUUGUUAAUACUCAACACUGUCGAAAGGUUAUCACAGUAUAUUUGAAUUGGUCUUUCAACAAAAUUGAAAACUUUCAAUUGUUGAAUGAAACUUUUUAACCAACUUGAUUGAAUUGAAACUCCAAAGCAUGAAAUAAAUUCAGCUUCCAUGGUUGAUGUGGCUAUUAACUUUUGUUUUUCACUUCUCCAAGAUACAGCACCACCUGCCAUUUUGAAGAUAUAACCAGAGGUUGACUUCUUUUCAUCUUUACAUCCAGCAAAAUCUGAGUCUAAAUAUCCAACUAGAUUCAAGUUUUCAACUCGAGUAUAUGUUAAUCUAUAAUUUCGAGUACCUUUUAAAUAUCUCAAAACUUUCAUCGCAACAACCCAAUGAUCCAAGCCUGGAUUAACUUGAUAUCUUCCUAAGAGUCCAACCAUAAAUACAAUAUCUGGUCUAGUGCAUACCUGAGCAUACAUUAGACUUCCAUAAAGAAAUGCUUUCAUUUCAUUCUUCUGCAAGUUUGUUAGAGGACAUUGAGCUAAAUUCAAUUUAUCACCUUUUACAAUUGAAGCAACACUUGACUUACAUUCUGAGAGAUUAAACCUUUGUAAUAUACGAUCGAUGUAAGCUGAUUGAACAAGACCUAACAAAUGUCUAGAUCGAUUUCUGUUGAUCUCAAUACCAAGAACAAAAGAUGCUUCACCCAAAUCUUUCAUAUCAAAUUCACUUGAUAAGAAUUUCUUUGUUUCAAAUAAUAUACUUAAAUCGUUGCAAGCAAGUAAUAUAUCAUCAACGUAUAGAACAAGCAAAACAUAUUUGCUCCCUCUGACCUUGUGAUAUAUACAUGGAUCCAUGAGAUUUUCCGAAAAACCAUAUGAAGAAAUGAUUUCAUGGAAUUUAAUAUGUCAUUGUCUUGAUGCUUGUUUAAGUCCAUAUAUAGACUUUUUAAGUCUAUAAACAAGCUUGUCAUUUUCUUCAAAACCUUGUGGUUGCGUCAUAUAUAUUUCUUCAUUGAGAUUCCCAUUAAGAAAAGCGGUUUUAACAUCCAUUUGAUGUAGUUCUAGAUUGUAGUGAGCCACUAAAGCCAUAAUGAUUCUAAAAGAAUUCUUCGAGGAAACUGGUGAAAAUGUUUCAUGAUAUUCAAUUCUCUCUCUUUGAGUGAAUCCUUUGGCAACCAAUCUAGCCUUAAACCGCUAAAUCUUUCCUCUGGAAUCUCAUUUGGUUUUAAAAGCCCAUUUGCAACUCACAACUUUAACACCCUCAGGUAACUGAAUAAGUUCUCAUUCUUUAUUAUGGUACAUAGACUGCAUCUCAUCUUUCAUUUCAUCUUGCCACAAAUCACAUUGUGCACUUGCAACCGCUUGAUCAUAUGAGAUAGGGUCAACUGUACUACUACAACCAAUGUCAUAGUCGUAUUCUCCUAAAUAAACUUCAUAAUCAUUAGGGAUAGCUGAUCUUCUUUCUCGUGUAGACCUCCUUGGUUCAAUAACUAGUGGAUCUGCCGGUGUAAUAAUUGGUUCAUCAACUUGAGCAAUAACUAGUGUGUCAACGGAUGUCACUGAAGAUGUGGUUGGUGUAAUCGAAAAUAAGGGUAUAACUACUGUUGAUGGUUGAUGGUCCAAUGAAUUAGAAACCUCUGAAGUAUUAACAUCUGCUACAUCAUUUUUUAAGAAUUUUGCUGUUCGAGAAUCUACAAUUAUUGUUCCACCAUGAGGUCUAUAAAAACGAUAUCCCUUAGAAUGAUUCGGAUAUCCCACAAAAUAGCAUGUCACUGUUCUUGAAUAUAACUUGUUUUAUGUUGGAUUGUAUAAUUUCACCCCUACAGGAUAACCCCAAAUCUUCAAAUGAUUUAAACUAGGUUUUCUACCUGUCCAAAGUUCAAAAGGUGUAACUAGUACUGACUUACUUGGGACUCGAUUCAAAAUAUACAAUGCUGCUUGUAUUGCUUCACCCCACAAGAAUGUUGGUAAAUUUGCUCUACUAGUCAUGUUUCUCACCAUAUCCAUUAGGGUACGAUUUCUUCUUUCUGCCGCUCCAUUCUGCUCAGGAGUUCCUGACAUAGUGUAUUGCCCAAUUAUUCCAUAUUCUUCCAAAUAUUGUGCAAAAGGACCUUUAAGUUGUCCAACAUCUCCAUGUUUACCGUAAUAUUCUCCACCUCUAUCUAUCUGAUCUAACAAUCUUUAUAGAUUUUUCCAAUUGUUUCUCAACUUCUGUUUUGAAUACUUUAAAUUUCUCUAAAGAUUCAUAUUUUUCUUUGAUAAGAAACAAAUGGCCAUAUUUAGAAAAAUCAUCUAUAAAUGUUAUAAAAUAUAAGCAUCCACACAAAGUUUUAUGAUAUGGUCCACUAAUAUCCGUAUAAAUAAUCUCCAAAAGACUAGUGUUACGAGUAGCAGUCUUUUUCCCUUUCUUGGUCAUUUUCCUCUUAAGACAAUCAAUACAUUCUGCAUGGUCAUUAUCUAAAGAAGGAAGAAUGGUCGAUUUAACCAAUCUUUUAAUUCUAUCUUGUGAAAUAUGAUCUAACCUUUUAUGCCAUAAUAUAUAUGAUUUUUCUUUAUUUAAGGGUCUUUUGGAAACUGUAUUUUCCACAUUAUAAGCUAUAUAGAUCUUCAUAGAAUCAAGACAUAAUCUGUAUAGGUCAUAAGACAAAACACAAUUACCCAUAAUCUUUGAGUUAAGAAACAUUGAAACUGUAUUGUUCUUAAAUUCAAAAGAAAAACCAUGUUUGCUUAAUUUACUAACAGAAAUUAGAUUCCGUCUAAACGACGGAACAUACAAAGUGUCUUUCAAUGUUAAACCAAAUCCUAAAUCUAGAUUUAAAAUAACAUCGCCCACAAAUUCUACAUCAGUUUGUCCAUCAUUUCCUACGAACAAUCUUGAUUCAUCCUGAUUUGGCUUCCUUCUAUUUGUGAAUCCCUGUAUGGUGAAUGCAACAUGAUUAGUUGCUCCACUAUCCAACCACCAAGAACUAGAUGAAGAUUCUAUUAAAUUAGAUUCAUAAACUAAUGUCAAAGAAUCAAUACCUUUUUGUUCCUGUUUUAUGAGCCAAGAUUUAUACUUUAAGCAAUUCUUCUUUAUGUGUCCCGGUUUCUUACAGAAGAAACAUCCAUUAAUUGCUUUCUUGAGGGAGUUCUUGUUAGGACCAAAUUUGUCAGAUAAGUUGGUAUCCUUAGAAUCUUUAUUUUUCACAAACUUUUUGAACUUAAAUCCUUUCUUAUUUGAACUAUACAUUGUUAUCGAAAAUUUUUCGCCUUUUAUUUUAUCCCCCAUUUCUCCAAAUAAUUAUUUCUUUUAAUUCGAGCCCAGGCUCGCCGGUUCGAGCCCGGGCCCGAGCCUGACAAUUCUUAAAAUGAGCCGAGCCUGAGCCUGGCUCUAUAAGCAAAAGCUCGACUUGUUUGACACCUUAAUCUCAGAUAAAUAUUCCGAGAAUAUUUUGCCACUUAUCUUCAAAUUCUGAAGUUUUUUGGCGUAGACUCAUCACAUGCGAUCGAGAAUUAGAUGCAAAUUGCAUUUGAAAUGUUUCUCAUACCUCAUGUGUCGUAGCACAAUCAGAGACUUCCGACAGUACCGAGAGUGAAAUUGAUGAAAAUAGCCAUCCUAAAAUCAAUUGAUCUUGCUUGAUGGCAAGAGAGUUGUCCAAUUUUUCCCUACCGGCCAGAUAGUCCAUCAGCUCAUGACCUCGGAUAUUAGCCCCAAAUUGGGCUCUCCACGCGAAGUAGUUGCUGCGGUCUAGGGCUACAGUCUUGAAGUUCUUGGCGGUCACCUUUCCUGGUGCAUCGUUGCCAUAGAGCUUCUUUGCAGCCAGCGAAAUCCCUUUGUCAGCUUCGUCAAUCGACAUUGCGUAUCGGAAAAAAAUUGUGAUCGUCAACGAUUUUGGAGCGAUUCCGAUGAUCAGAGAUGUGCGGCUUCCCAAGAUCAGCUAAGCGAAAGAUACCAUAACAGUGAAUUGAAAUAUAUGAAUGGGGAAAGCCAAACUCGAUCCUUUUCAUAUUCAAUAGUAAGAUCUAUUUAUACAAUUUGUUACUCUAAUAUCCUAUUUGUUUGUUCUUUUGUAUUAUCGAUAUUUAUUGUCUAUUUUUUAUAAUGUUCUUGUCUAUUUUUAUAUUUACAGUCUAUGGUUUUUAGUCCUUGAUACUUGAUAGAUAUUUGAUAUCUAUUAUAUAUUUUAUCUAUUUUUGUGGUUUCUUUGUCGUUUUCUUUAUUGAUUUUUAUUCAUUCUUGUUCUAUUAAUAGGUUACCAAAUUCUUGUUCUAUUUGAAGAAGAGAGUUUCCCAUCUCUUGCUCGGGUACCUUCUCCAAGUUAUAAGGAACCAGAUGGAGGCCAUUGAAUUGUUAGUCUACCUUCCUCCAUUGGAGUCUGAGGCAUAGAUGGACCGAAAGUGGAAUCAUCUAGCUUUAGAUGGGGGAGGAGAGCACGACUUGUGCUAGAACUUCUUCAAGAAAUUUGACAAAUUUACGCUUCUCAACCUUACUCAUGGCUCUCGCGUCUUGAUGUUACAAGAGUUGCUCGUGGAGGGUACGUAAGGCUAUCCCCAACUGAAUCUUUGACUGGGGGAAAGAUGAUUCCGUCAGGGAAUUUGAUGUAAAAAUUCGAAAAACAAACAUAUAACAUUAUUAUUAGAGGAAACGUUUCAAAUAAAAUAUUUAAAAUAAUAUAUAUUUUGUGAAAUAUUAAUUUAGAACGUUCAUUUAUUUUAAAUUAAAUUAAACACAUCUUAAGGUAGAUCAUAUCAUUUAAUUAGUGGAAUGUUUUAGAGAUUAAUUUUAUACCAUUUAAAUGAAAUAAAAGAGUACUUAUACUAUUACAACAUUUGUAAUUAAUUAAUUAAUUAAUUCUAAAGGAUUUUUAAUAUAAAAAUUCUAAUUGGAGCAGCGGUCUUCCGCUUCUCUCUCCGGCUCGGACCCGGUUCAUCACCGUUGGGUGAUUUUUGUUUACCGUGGUCUUCCCCCAAUUAAGUUAGGAUUUAGGUCGUCUUCUUCAACAACAACUCUUCUAAUCGUCGUGCUAUCUUCCUGGAUAGUGGAGCAGUCUAUCAGCAUCAUAUCAUCGUCGGCUUCUUCAGAUUCGGCAUUGUCUUCAAUGUUGAUAGGAGGGAAAAGACGCAACACAUCUUCAUGAAAUUCCCAAGACGAGUCCUCCGGUAUCGCUCCAUUCCAAGCGACCAGCCAUUGAUUUCUCUGUCUCGAUCUCACCCUGAAAAAUGGUACGUUUAUUAGAAUAAAUAACUUCUACUGUUUUUUUAGUUGAGUUUAAUAUUCUCAAAUACAAUUAAGUUUAUACAAUGAGUUAGUUGUUAGAGGUUAAUUAGUUUUAGAUACUCUUUCUUAUAAAUUCUUUUGUAAGACUGUAUUCUUGGUUAAUGAAUUAAGUUCUUUCUUUUGAGAUUAUUGUUGAAUUGAGCUUGAAACAAGCACCAAAAUCUUGGUACUCAAGACUGAGUGCAUUCCUAAUAUUAAAUGAAUUCACUAACAGUCUGGCAGAUACAUUAUUGUUUCAAAAAAAAGAUAAUAUUUUAAUUUGAGUAAUUGUGUAUAUAUAUAGAUGACAUUAUAAUUUCAAGAAACAACAACAUUGAAAUUGAAGUUUUUAUUAAAAAUCUUUGUACUGAAUUUAGAUGUAGAGACCUAGGACUUUUGAAAUAUUUCUUUAGUAUAGAAAUUAGAUACAAUUUUGAUGGGUCACUUAACAUGACUCAACCUAGAACUUUUGGACUGGUCCAUGUUCCGAUCUUUAAAUAUAAAAAGGGUUUUGUAAAUUUGAUUUUGGUUGUAAACACGAAUCAUCUUGUAGGGUUUCAGCGGGAAAUGAGGGUUUCACUGGAGGCAAGGGUUUGCUGGAGGCAAUCGUUCGGGUAUGUUUCUAGUCUUCUUCUUUUGUGCAUGUCGCUCUAUUCUUCUUGUGUAUGUUGUCUUUGGUUGGGUAUCCUUAUUCAUUUGUAUUCUUAAUGGGUUUUGUAGUGGGUGUUCUGUCUGUUAAUGUGUUUGCAUGUCAGUGUUUUCUUUCAUGGUGUUUGUUUUCCUUCAUCCUUUGUGUUUGUUUUCCUCUAUCAGUCUGUUCCGUGUAAGUUUUCCAUAUUCAGUUUCUUUUUGAGAUGAUUGAAUAGAUAUCCUGUAACAUCUUUUGUGAAGAUGUCUUCCACGUUUUCUUUGGUGUUUACCCUUUCUAUUUCAAUCUCUUUUUGCAAAGCUUUGUCUCUGAUCGUGUGUGUAUCGAUUUCUAUGUGUUUUGUUCUUUGAUGUAAGACUGGGUUUGUUGCGAUUGCAGUUGCAGAGGAACUAUUUGUAUAGAGUUUUGGAGUUACUAUAUUUACAUGCAUUUCCUUUAAUAGUUGUUUUAGCCAUGUGAUUUCACAAGUUGUGUGUGCUAAGGGUCGGUACUCUUCCUCUGCUGACGAUCUUGCCACUGUAUGUUGUUUUUUGGUUUGCCAUGAAACUAGGUUAUCAUUCAAGAAGAUGGCAAAUCCUGAUGUGGAUCGUCUGGUUGUGGGGCAAGAGGCCCAGUCAGAGUCUGAAAAUACUUUAAUCCUUCAGGUUCUUGUGCCUGAUGAGAAGAAAAGUCCACUUCCUGGUGAGUUUUUAAUGUAUCUUAAUAUUUUGUUCACCUUAGUAGAGUCUUCAUUUGUUGGUUCUGACAUGUGUUGGCUUAGUUGGUUUACUACAUAUGUUAUAUCGGGUUUGGUUACAGUUAGGUAGACAAGUUUUCCAACUAUGCAUCUGUACUCAGUAGGAUCAUCAAGUAAUUUAAUUUCCUUGUUCUGUUUGUUUGGCGAUCUUGAUGGUGUAUAGAGUGGGUAUUCUCCUGGUUUAGCAUGUAGAUAGUUGUUUUGUUCAAGGAUUUCUAAUUCAUAUUUUCUUUGGCUAAUAAAAAUCCCAUGUUGUGUUGUUGUGAAUUCUAAUCCUAAGAAUUUUUUUAAUGUUCCUAGAUCUUUGAUGUUAAAAAAACUGGUUAAAUCUGUCUUAAGUUUGAUUAUUUCUUUUAAGUUAUUUCCUGUGAUUAAUAGAUCAUCUACAUAUGGUAGGAUGAAAAUUUUAUUUUUCCCAUUGAUCUUACCGAAGAGAGCAUAAUCCUCUCUUGUCUGUUUAAAACCUAAUUUGUUUAGUACUUGUUGUAGUUUGUUAAACCACAUUCUAGAUAUUUGUUUUAAGCUAUAUAGAGGUUUUGUUAAUUUGCAUGCUAGUUUGUGGUUAUCUGUUGGUUCUUUGUUGAUCCUUAGACCUUGGAGAAUGUCCAUAUGUAGACUUCUUCAUUUAAGUCUCCAUGUAAGAAGGUGGUGAGACAUGCCUGAUUACGGCAGUCACUCCCAGCAACGCCUUUCAACAAGGACUAGAGUUCCGUCGCUUUACCCCCGGAAGGCUCCCACGGUGCGGAACAAGUUCAUCGUCAAAUCGCGAGUUAACCCAUAAAUCGCAAUUGGACUACCAAAUCGCCGAUUUUAGGGACAAAUCGUUGAGUUAGGUCCCAGAUAGGCAGUAUGGUAGACUGCAUAUCUCGCCCCUUGAAACUCGACUAGUUUACCCUAAUAGGCAAUUUUCAUACCUGAAUCGUCGAUUUACGACCGUUACUCGCCGCCAGCCAACGCCAUAAAUGCACCCAUAUAUGGCAAUAGGCGCGAUGUCCGCCUUUGAUCGCGCCCUCCGAGACCAUAUAAAAAGGGUCCCAAGGGGACACUCAAAGGCACAACACAAGUUCCACUCUCACCAGAGCACCACUAAGAGAAUCGCCGAUUCCCACACCAGAAUCGCCGAUUCUCUCCUUUCAGGUAUUUGACGUAGAGCGUGUGUCGUGGACUCCAGAGCCUCCGCGAGCCCUGGUAGCAGAUUCUGUGCUUCAUCAAUCCUUCAGUGGAUGCUAGGGAGAUAAGUGUUCUUAGUGUGGUCAUUCUAGAAACUGGUGCAAAAGUUUAUGUGCAGUCUAUCCCCUCUGUUUAGUUAUAGCCCUUGGCAACCAAUCUAGCUUUGAAUUUGUCUAGGCUUCCAUCAGCCUUAAGUUUUGUCUUAAAAACCCAUUUGCAAUCUAUGAUUUUUGUCUCUCUUGGUACUUCAGUGAUUCUCCAAGUGUUGUUUUGUUUUAGUGCAUUUAUUUCAUUGCUUCUUGCCAGUGUGAUACUUGGCUUGCUUUUUGUAAUUUUUAGGUUCUAUGUGUUCUGAAAUUUUAAUUAGAAAUGCUCUGUGUUUUUCCGAAAAUUUGUUGUAGUUGAUGUGGUUGCUUAUUGGAUAUUUUGUUGUGUUGUAACAAACGUAGUCAUCCAAUUUUGUGGGUCUCUUUCUCUCUCUUGUGGGUCUUUCAGGCUUUUCUCUCCUAUUGUUUCAUCUUCUACAUGGUUGUUUGAGUUUUCAGAGUUUUGGUUGUCAUGAUUUUGUUGAAUUGCUUGGUCUUGGAUUUGUGUUCUCAUUGUUGAACUUGAUUUCAGUAUCUAUAAGGAGGAUCCCAUUUUCCUUUUCUUCUAUGUUUUUGAAAGGGAAGAUAUUUUCAUGGAAUAUUACAUCUCGGUUGAUAAUUAUUUCAUUGUUUUUAAUAUCGAGAAUCUUGUAUCCUUUUGUUAAUGUAGAAUACCCUAGAAAUACCCCUUUUGUGGCUCUGGCCUCAAAUUUAUUUGUCGGUUUAUUGAUUUUUGAGUAGCAAAGACAUCCAAAUUUUUUGAGACUUUCAUAUGAUGGUUCUUUUUGGAAGAGUCUGAAAUAAGGGGUUUCAUUAUUGAUGGUUGGUGAGAACAUUCUAUUUAUGAGAUAGCAAGCAGUUUGGAUGCAUUCUCCCCAGUAAGUUGUUGGAACUUCAGAUUGGAAUAUUUAGCAUCUAGUUAUGUCUAGGAUGUGUUUGUGUUUUCUUUCUACUAUUGAGUUUUGUUAUGGGGUGUAGAGGCAAGUGAGUUGGUGUUUUAUUCCAAAGCCCUAUAGAAAGGUUUGGAGGUUUACGUUAAGGAAUUCAGUACCAUUAUCGGUUCUGAUUGUUUUCACAGAAGUGUCAAAUUGGUUGAUUGCUUUUGUGAUGAAAUGUUUUAGUUUUCCUGGUGUUUCCCCUUUAUUGUGUAAUAGUAUUAUCCAGGUGGCUCUACUAAAGUCAUCCACUAUGGUGAUGAAGUAGUGGUGACCAUUGUAUGUUGGUGUUCUGCAUCUUCCCCACAAGUCAAUAUGUAGUAAUUCAAAAAAAUUCGUAGUUUUGGAAGUACUUGUAGAAAAUGAUAAUCUAAUAAAUUUUGCAGUUGGACAUUCAUUACAUAAAAUAUUUUUAAACAUAGGAAUAGAUGGAUUGUUUUUCCUAAUUAGAUUGUAUCUCAAAAUUAAAGAAUGUCCUAGCCUUCUAUGCCACAGCUCUGCAUUUUUUUGAGCUGAAUUUACCCAUACUUGUCCUUCUUUCGUUUCUUCAGAUGAUAGGAUGUAGAGUCCUUUCCUUUUAACCAUAGAAAUCGAAUUCAUCUUCGAAUCCUGUAUUAGACAGUGGUUAUUAUAGAAAACGAAAAAGCAGUUAAUUGAAUUUGUCAGCUUUGUGACAGAGAUCAAAUUAACAUUGAAAUUUGAAAUUUUUAACAUUGGAUCUAGUGUUAAUUUUUCAUUCAGGGUGAAUGUUCCAACCUCGUGCAUAAUUGCUAUGUGAGAGUUUGGCAUAUGGACCUUAAUAGGAUGGUUAAGUAUCCUUAUGUUGGAUAGCUGGAUUACCGGACCACACAUGUGGUAUGUGGCUCCACUAUCUAUCACCCAUUCAUUUUGUCUAUUCACUGUUGAAAUGAAGCAGUAAGAUUGUGUACCUGAUUUUUCUAUGUCAUGGGUUGUAGAUCUUCCCACGUUUGCAGAGUGUUUAGGUUUGUUUUGUCAUUGUAGCAUGGACAUGAGUUGCUCAAUGGUGUAGCUUGGUUGUCCUUCUGAAUAAUUGACUCUAUUUCUUGUGGGGUUUCAUGGUGAUCUUCUUGGUUGUAGUUAUCUUGGUAAUUGUAGUCUUCCCAGUUUUGUUGUUCUUGUGGCUCUUCUGAAUCCUCAGUGUAUGUGUUGUUUGCCCUGUAGUUUGCCUAUUGUAAUUCCUGCCAUACUGGUUUUUGUUUUCCCUUCUUGGGUAGCUAUUUGUUGGAUUGUAGGGUCUGUUAGGUCUCCUGAAAUUUUGUGAGUUAUUUCCAUUGUUGUAUGUUUGCCUUUCAGGGUAUCCAUGUACUUGGUAGCAAUUGUCAACAGUGUGCCCUGAUCUUUUGCAAUGUGUACAGAAGGGCCUUUCUCUUAUCUCUGGUUUUGAUGGUUUGUAAGGGUCAUUUGCCAGUAAGGUUGUUGUUACCUCAGUUGUGGGUACUGUGUGAUUUCUUUGCUGUUAUUCUUGUUUGAUUAUAGGAUAUAAUUCACCAAGUUUUGGGGUCGAUUUCUGAGCCAUUAGGACACCUCUAAUUGUUGUGUAGGUUUCAUUCAGUCCCAUUAAGAAUUUUACUGAUCUUGCAAAUUCAUCAGGGGGGUUAAUGUCUUCUUUGUUGGUGUCAUAUGUGCUCUAGAUGAGUUUAGUCAGUUUGGUGUAGUAUGUGCAUACUGAGUCUUGUCCUUGGUAGAGUGUGUAUGUUUGUACUAGGACAUCAUAAAGCAUUGCACCAUUUGAUUGGUUGUAUCUGAUUGCCAAUUCAUCCCAUAAUAUCCAUGGUUUGCUAGCUGUGAGAAAAGAUGGUUGUAGCUCUGGUGUGAUGGAGCUUAGUAAUCAAGAAUGUAUCAUAGUGGUGCAGGCCUUCCAUUUUCUAUGUUCCUUUGAAUAUGUUUCUUGGUCUGGUUCUGGUAUGACUCCAAGUAGGAACCCUAAUUUUGAUCUACCUUCUACUGCCAUUUCAAAAUGCUUUUUCCAUACUGGAUAGUUAUUACCAUCCAGUUUAAUAGUUACCAUAAAAUGUGAAGAGAAUUCUGAACUGUAGAUGUCAUCCUCUUUUGUUUUUGUGCUUUGUAUGUUUUGAUCAUCAUAUUCAGACAUUUUCUGCAGAUUCAUAAUUAGCUAAUUACGUGGAGUUUGUAGAAGGCGAAAAUUCUAAGUAGCAAAUGUGAAUGUGGAAGUUAAUACUAAGGAGUGUGUUGACCACUUGAUGGUCGAGGAAGAUGUUGAUCCUCCUCCUGAUCCUACUGAAGAUGAGGCUACAAUGAUUCGUAGGGCUACUAGAAAGAGGAACAGGGAGGAAGGAGAAGUGUUCCACGAUCCUUUCACAGUGUGGAUGGAUGACUGCUGGAGGAAAGGUAUUUCCCCUGACCUUAAUAAUGCACCUAGGUAUCGUGAUUAUAAAUGGGAAAAUGAUGAUGAGCUUCCACCUUGAGAUGGUCGUUUUGAUGAAAUGUUUAAUUCAGAUACAGAAGUUAAUGGAGGUAUCUAUGGAUUUAGUGAAGAUUCUGAGGUUGAUCGUCUCUAUGAUCGUGAGAUGUUGGGAGUGAGUGUGGACAUUGUAAUUGUUAUAAGUGAUGAUGAUGAUGAUGCUGAGGAUAGUGAUGCUUGGUAAUCCUGAUUAUAUGGAGUUGAUCUUCGACACUUGAAAGAACUGAAGAAAGAGAAUAAGGGUAAUGUAGAGCCAGACUAUGAGAAGUGGCUCAAGAUGAUACUUAAGAAGAAAUCGAAGUGAGGAUUUUCCUCAUCUUUUUGAAGUAAAGAAAAAAAACUUUAUAUAUUUUGUUUUCUCUUUGAGAAUAAAUACUUUCCCUUUUUUUUAUUAACCUAUUACUUGGGUUUGUUUUACUAUGGGGAUCUCAAUCGCUCUGAUACCAUGUUAAGUUUUAAUGUGUAUGAAAUAUAAUCCAAGUAUGGUUUAAUGAUUAAUCCAGAGUAAAGCAAAAUAGUGUUGAUGCAGCGGAUAAUAUUGAUUGUUUAAUUUAUCUAAUGAGUAUGAUCAAGAUGUGUUGCAGGUAGAUAAUGUUUGACAGGGAUGAUAUAUAUAUGAUUUGUCCAAGUAGAAGCGGAGAUAUGUGUAUGCAAUAGAUAUCAGGUAUGAUAUAUAUAUGAAAUGUAAGCAGAUGAUUUAGCAAUACUGAGAUCGUUUGGAGAGCGAGGAGAUGACGAUGUAGGAGAGUCGAUGAUUGAGUGUAGAGCAGAUCGGAGUGAAGUUGAUGAUGACUUUGAUCCACAGAUGAUGAUUCCCAAAGGGAGUAUGAUUUUGAAACUUAGUAUCACAAACUGUAAAACAAUGUUAGGUUUGAGUUUGAUCUAUAUAGAUGGUUUAAAUGUUUGAUUCCAGCUUACAACGGUCAUAAGCUCAAGGUUCAACUGGCGCUUGUUGUCCUGUUGCUGAAGGCAAAGGUGACAUCAAGUGAUGGUUGGACCUUCCUAAGAUUUCUAUCAUAUUAAAGGUUUAGGUAUUAAAUUGAUCAUGUAAGGGUUUAGAUUGUAAAUUGGUUAAUGAGGGUUCAUAUUGUAAAUGUUGUAAUUAUGGAUUUAUGUAAUAAUUUUAUAGAAACCCAGUUAUCAAAAAUAUGUCAAAACAUAUUGAGAGUGACAUCCAUUACAUUAGAGAAUUAAUUACAAAUAGUUUAAUAGUAGGAAAAUCUCCAUCCCUGUUCCGGACUGAAAUCCCCGUCCAUUUCCCUGCCCCGGAUAAUAUUCGUACCGUGGUAAAUUAUAUUUAUACCUUAUAUAAUAUCUUAUAUAGUAUAAUUUAUAUAAAUAACCCUAUAUAAUAUAUUAAAUGCAUAGGUUUAUAUUCAAAAUGUAUCCAUAAAAAAUUUAUAUUUAACCCUAAAUCCCUAAAAAUUUAAUUUUUAACUAUUUGGAUGAAUUGUGAUUUAGAGAUAAUAAAUAUAAAUUUAGAAACUUCUUUUUUAAUUAAUGAAUCCUCGAUUAAUUUUUCACGAUAUUUUUCUUUAAAUUUUUUUUCAUAUCGAUUUUUAAUUAUAUACUAACACCACAAUUUUAGAUUUAAUUUUUAGAAUUAUUCUUUUUUUAUUCUUUAGCUGGUUAGUUGCAAUUUUCAGUUUGAAAAUAACCAUUUUAGAAUAGAAAUGAGCAUUUCUCUCUCUCUCACCCAUUUUUUUCUUUCAAAACAACUAUAUAAUCAUCGAUAGAUAUCAAUCAAUCUAUUGAAAGGAGAAAGAAGACGUGAGAUCUCGAUAGUUCUUUCGAAUUUUGAUUUUUCUUAGGUCAAGAAUGGUUCACGUAACCGAGAUGGAGGAAAACAAUUUAAGUGAGGUUGAUUGCUUUUCUUCUCAAAAUAAUUCGACCCAAGCAACCAAUUUUUUUCCACAGGUUUAUUUAUCAUUGUUUUAGAUUCUAAACAUUACAUUUGUUCUAUUUCCUUCUUAUUCUUUUUUCUUUUGUAUAUGACAAUUCUCUCAUUUCAUUUUAUAUUUUUAUUUAUCAGGGAUCAUCAACUCCAUUGUCUCAAAAUAAUUCGACCCAAAUAAUGAAUUCUUCUGGGCAGGUUUAUUUAUCAUUGUUUUAGAUUCUAAACAUUACAUUUAUUCUAUUUCCUUCUUAUUCUUUUUUUCUUUUGUAUAUGACAAUUCUCUCAUUUGAUUUUAUAUUUGUAUUUAUCAGAGAUCAUUAAGACCCCAAAAUAUACCUAGUAUUGAGCGUAACCGAAAUUCCCAUAGCCAUAGGCGUCGUUCCACACAAAAUCAUCAAUCUCGAAGACGUCAGCAAGUUGAUUGGGUUUCUUCAUUAAAGCAGUCGAUUGUUAUUCCUCCUUACCCUAUAAACCAAGCUAUUUAUCCUCCAUUUAAUGUUGUUCCUGCUCCCCUUCCGAUGGAAAUGAAUCAAUAUCCUUACCCAACAAAUUUUACUACUAGACAACCAUUCGUGAUGAAUUCUUGGCACGAUUGCAGAUAUCUACCAUUUCCUCGUCAUCAACCUUUUGGGUUUAAUCCUCUCAGUAACUUUUACAGACCACAAGAGCAUAACUCUAGUUGGACGUCAAUAAAUCCACAGAUACCUGGUAGACAUUUCAAUCAGGCACACCAACCUUAUCCAUUUUAUCCCUCAUGUAAUCCAUUCCAAAUGCGAAUUAUGAAUCAAAGACCUUAUUUUAUGAAUAUGCAAGCACCGGCAUUUAUACCAACUCAUGGAGUGUAUGGAAAUGAUUACAACCAGGGUACCACCCACUUCUUCUGAUUAUUUCUACCAAUUGCUAAUUUUAUCAUUCAUCAUUCAUAUAUAUUUAGGUAAUGCAGUUCAUUAUUCUGCACCAUUUGAAUCGUCGAAUCUUAAUGAUCUUCAAGAGUUGAAGACGAGUAUACGUGUUCAAAUUGAAUAUUACUUUGGGUAUAUAUCAUUUCAUAUAUGAGAUUUUUUUUUUUAAGUAUAUAUGUUUUUGUAACGUUUUCAUUGUAUUUUUAUAGAGAUACCAACUAUCCAACUGAUGAUCAUCUACACAAAAAAAUGGAUAAAGAAGGGUGGGUGGACAUAUCUGAAAUCGCACAAUUUAGAAUGGUGUGUUCAAAAUAUUUAUCGUUCUAGGAAGUUACAUAUUCUCAAUAUUUCCAACUAACAACUAUAUAUGCUUCAAUUGUGAUGUUACAGAUAAGAAGAAAAAAUGUUGAUUUAUCCCUUAUUUUAGAAUCUUUGAAAUCGUCAAAAAUGAUCGAAAUAAAGGUAAUUAUAAUACAUGUAAAAAUUAAAUUUCACUAUGACUAAUUAAGUGCUUGAUACAAUUUUAUUUAUCGAUCAUAAAGAGUAUAAUUUUUUAAAUGGUGUUGUAUAUUUAACAUUUAUGUUGUUUUUUGUUUAUAGGGAAAUAAGAUAAGAAAAAUCAUUCAUGAAAAAAUGCUUCCAUUACCUGAAACGACGACCGAUACAAGUCAAUGAUAAAGAGCUUAUCGGCCUCAAGAAGUUUUAACUUUAUUUUUAAUUUGAACCUUAUUAUCUGAUUUUUACAACAUUUAGUUAGCCAUUAAUAAUUGGUUAAGUGACAUUUCCACAGUUUGAUUUUUGGCUACAUUUCGUUAGCCAUUUUUUGUUUGAUUGUCAUUUCGUCAUUUUUAUGUUCGACCAGAUUUCGUUAACCAUUUUUUAGUUGUGUGUCUUUUUGCUGUUUGAUUUUUGGCUAUAUUUUGCUAGCCAUGUUUGAGUGAGCCUCAUUUUGGCUGUUUGUACUUUAUAGACUUCAUUUUAACAUUCUAAAUUGAAGAAUUGAAUUUUUUUUGUUAAUUAAUUUGAGGUUAUCAACUUUGAUACUUUUCUUUUAUCCAUGUAUUUUGGUUAAUAGCAAGAACCUAGUGAAGCUCAAAUAAAAAUUGCAAACGAUCAAGUGAAUGGAAAUAACAAAAUAAAUAAAUGUCAAAUACCACAAGAAAUACCAUAAGAACUGCAAAGCAAGGCAUAUUUGAAGGUGUUUCGAUCUGCAUCUUUCCUGUGACGGAAAGGAUAUACAAUGUGAGAAUUGAUUGAAACGCAACUUGUGUUGAAAUAUACUUACAGAUUCAAACGCAACUUGUGUUGAAUCCAUUACAACGGAAGUACAGAUAGACGAUAUCUAUUUGUUUGUUCUUUUGUAUUAUCGAUAUUUAUUGUCUAUUUUUUAUAAUGUUCUUGUCUAUUUUUAUAUUUACAGUCUAUGGUUUUUAGUCCUUGAUACUUGAUAGAUAUUUGAUAUCUAUUAUAUAUUUUAUCUAUUUUUGUGGUUUCUUUGUCGUUUUCUUUAUUGAUUUUUAUUCAUUCUUGUUCUAUUAAUAGGUUACCAAAUUCUUGUUCUAUUUGAAGAAGAGAGUUUCCCAUCUCUUACUCGGGUACCUUCUCCAAGUUAUAAGGAACCAGAUGGUGGCCAUUGAAUUGUUAGUCUACCUUCCUCCAUUGGAAUCUGAGGCAUAGAUGGACCGAAAGGGGAAUCAUCUAGCUUUAGAAGGGGGAGGAGAGCACGACUUGUGCUAGAAUUCUUCAAGAAAUUUGACAAAUUUACGCUUCUCAACCUUACUCAUGGCUCUCGCGUCUUGAUGUUUCAAGAGUUGCUCGUGGAGGGUACGUAAGGCUAUCCCCAACUGAAUCUUUGACUGGGGGAGAGAUGAUUCCGUCAGGGAAUUAAUGUAAAAAUUCGAAAAACAAACAGAUAACAUUAUUAUUAGAGGAAACGUUUCAAAUAAAAUAUUUAAAAUGAUAUAUUUUGUGAAAUAUUAAUUUAGAACGUUUAUUUAUUUUAAAUUAAAUGAAACACAUCUUAAGGUAGAUCAUAUCUCGAGGUUGUAUAUCUCAAUUUACUCCAAAUAAAUAUGUUAGAUUAAUAUCUCAU
rnacentral:lncRNA from 1 species